rnacentral:rRNA from 1 species
UACAUGGGGGGCAAGCGUUGUUCGGAAUUACUGGGCGUAAAGGGUCCGUAGGCGGCCAACUAAGUCCGAUGUGAAAUCCCAAAGCUUAACUUUGGAACUGCGUCGGAUACUGGAUGGCUUGAAUUCGGGAGAGGGAUGCAGAAUUCCAGGUGUAGCGGUGAAAUGCGUAGAUAUCUGGAGGAAUACCGGUGGCGAAGGCGGCAUCCUGGACCGACAUUGACGCUGAACGACGAAAGCUAGGGGAGCAAACGGG